UACGAAGGGGGCUAGCGUUGUUCGGAAUGACUGGGCGUAAAGCGCACGUAGGCGGCUUGUUUAGUCAGGGGUGAAAUCCCGGGGCUUAACCCCGGAACUGCCUUUGAUACUGGCAAGCUUGAGUCCGGAAGAGGGUGGCGGAAUACCCAGUGUAGAGGUGAAAUUCGUAGAUAUUGGGUAGAACACCGGUGGCGAAGGCGGCCACCUGGUCCGGUACUGACGCUGAGGUGCGAAAGCGUGGGGAGCAAACAGG
rnacentral:rRNA from 1 species